ACAGGUUUUAAUAGGUUUUAAUCUAUUUUAAUUGGGUUUUAAUUGGUUUUAAUUGAUUUUAAUCGGUUUUAAUUGGUUUGAAUCGAUUAUUAAUAGGAUUUAUCAGUUUUUAAUGGGUUUAAUUAGGCCCGGAUAGGUUUUAAUCGAUUAUUAAUCGUUUCUAAUCGAUUUCGAUCGAUCGUUGAUGGAUUUAAUCGAUUCCUACGAGUUCGAGACGCUUUAAUUAGAAAGUUAAUUAUUAAUUAAUGUCGAUCAGCGGGAAUUAGGGGAUUAUUAGGGGCUAAUAGCAGGGAUUAAUUGCAAUUAAAGAGAUGAAUUAAUUGAUUGAUGGGAUGGGAAUUAGCAGCUCUGAGGGCCCAGACUGGUUUGUACUGGUCAGUACUGGGCUGGACUGGUCCAUACUGGUUUGUACUGGGCUGUACUGGUCUGUACUGGUCAGUACUGGUCAAGCUGGGAUGGCUGAGGGUGCCUGUACUGGUCAGUACUGGGCUGUACUGGUUUGUACUGGGCCGUACUGGUCCUGUGCUAGACUAUACUGGCCUAUACUGGUCAGUACUGGUCAGUACUGGUCAAGCUGGGGCAGCUGUAGGUACCCAUACUGGUCUGUACUGGUCGGUACUGGGCUGUACUGGGCUAUACUGGCCUAUACUGGUCUGUACUGGUCAAGCUGGGGUGGCUGAGGGUGCCCAUGCUGGUCCCAUACUGGUCCUGUACUGGACUAUACUGGCCUAUACUGGUCAGUACUGGUCAAGCUGGGGCAGCUGUAGGUACCCAUACUGGUCUGUACUGGUCAGUCCUGGGCUGUACUGGGCUGUACUGGUUUGUACUGGUCUGUACUGGUCAGUACUGGGCUGUACUGGGCUAUACUGGCCUAUACUGGUCUGUACUGGUCAAGCUGGGGUGGCUGAGCAUGCCCAUGCUGGUCCCAUACUGGUCCUGUACUGGGCUGUACUGGUCCCAGCUCAUACUGGUUCUGUACUGGUCCUGUACUGGUCAAGCUGGGGCAGCUGCGGGUGCCUGUACUGGUCAGUACUGGGCUGUACUGGGCUGUACUGGUUUGUACUGGGCCGUACUGGUCCCGUACUGGUCCGGGCUGUACUGGUCUGUACUGGUCCCAGCUCAUACUGGUUCUAUACUGGUUCUGUACUGGUAAAGCUGGGGCAGCUGGGGGUCCUGUACUGGUCCCAUACUGGUCCUGUACUGGGCUAUACUGGUCUGUACUGGUAAAGCUGGGGCAGCUGUGGGGGCUGGUACUGGUCCCAUACUGGUCCUGUACUGGGCUGUACUGGUCAGUACUGGUCCGUACUGGUCUGUACUGGUAAAGCUGGGGCAGCUGGGGGGGCUGGUACUGGUCCCAUACUAAUCCUGUACUGGUCUGUACUGGUCUGUACUGGUCCCGUACUGGGCUGUACUGGUCCGUACUGGUCUGUACUGGUCUGU